CAGAUGCUUUACUGACGGAGCCACCAGGUAUCCUUGAGGAUUGGUUGUUUUGAAAGAAGACCUUCGGGAUCCCUGGGUGGCACAGUGGUUUAGCGCCUGCCUUUGGCCCAGGGCGCGAUCCUGGAGACCCGGGAUCGAAUCCCACAUCGGGCUCUCGGUGCAUGGAGCCUGCUUCUCCCUCUGCCUAUGUCUCUGCCUCUCUCUCUCUCUGUGACUAUCAUAAUUAAAAAAAAAAGAAGACCUUCAAAGGAGUUAGGAUGCUGAGGGCUAGUGCUUGGUCACCAAGUAGGGUGUUGGGCUAGUGUACAGGAGUCAAGGGAUAGUUCUAGUCCUGCUUCCAGAGCACUGAACCCCCUCACCCCGCUUAUGCCCUCAGUAUCUGUCUCCGCUUACAGAUUAUAUCCCCCCUUUAGGAGCCUUGGAAUGAUGAAUCUGGUAAUAAAUGUCAAUCUCCACAGUGCUGGGUAGCGGUGAUUCUUCCCAGAACUUCCUCACUGACUGGAGAAGACAAUUCAAUGAUGUUCUGGUGCCAGAAACCUAGAGCUCCUUGAGGUCAUCUAGGAAGGUCAACUCAGGGGGUAUGGGGGCGAUUCAUCGCUCCUUUCCCAGUCCGAAGAACCCGCAAUUAAUGGGACGUGAAACCAUCUCGACCCUCACAAGCCAACCCGGACUGACCACUGUUGAUGGAAAAGAAACACAUUUUAUGUGCUUGAAGAGGUGGGCGGCCUGCCCCUUAAAAUGAUAGAUGUAGGUGAAGAUUACAUGGCUUACAAAAAUUGCUUUCAGAAUCUGAAGGAGGAGAAGAUAAUUAAAAGUUAAGGCGCCUGUUCUGGUUAUAGGAUAACAUCAGUAAUAAACGUAUUCGCGGAAGGCGUUUAUAAUUACCA
rnacentral:lncRNA from 12 species